GUACGUAGGGGGCAAGCGUUGUCCGGAUUUAUUGGGCGUAAAGAGCUCGUAGGCGGUUCCGUAAGUCGUGAAGUCAAAUCUCUGGGCUCAACCCAGAAUCGCUUCCGAUACUGCGGUGACUGAAGUCCGGUAGGGGAGUGUGGAAUUCCUGGUGUAGCGGUGAAAUGCGCAGAUAUCAGGAGGAACACCAACAGCGAAGGCAGCACUCUGGGCCGAUACUGACGCUGAGGAGCGAAAGCGUGGGGAGCGAACAGG
rnacentral:rRNA from 1 species